UACGUAGGGUGCAAGCGUUAAUCGGAAUUACUGGGCGUAAAGCGUGCGCAGGCGGCUUUGCAAGACAGAUGGGAAAUCCCCGGGCUUAACCUGGGAACUGCAUUUGUGACUGCAUGGCUGGAGUGCGGCAGAGGGGGAUGGAAUUCCGCGUGUAGCAGUGAAAUGCGUAGAUAUGCGGAGGAACACCAAUGGCGAAGGCAAGCCCCUGGGCCUGCACUGACGCUCAUGCACGAAAGCGUGGGGAGCAAACAGG
rnacentral:rRNA from 1 species